rnacentral:snoRNA from 1 species
UGGAAUGAUGAUUUUUGGACUAGAGUCUCUGAGAAAAAAAAAACAUGAAGUUGUUUUCACAGUUCACUGACCA